rnacentral:rRNA from 1 species
GUGGGGAAUAUUGGGCAAUGGGCGCAAGCCUGACCCAGCAACGCCGCGUGAAGGAAGAAGGCUUUCGGGUUGUAAACUUCUUUUACCAGGGACGAAACAAAUGACGGUACCUGGUGAAUAAGCCACGGCUAACUACGUGCCAGCAGCCGCGGUAAUACGUAGGUGGCGAGCGUUAUCCGGAUUUAUUGGGUGUAAAGGGCGUGUAGGCGGGACAGCAAGUCAGAUGUGAAAACCAGAGGCUCAACCUCUGGCCUGCAUUUGAAACUGUUGUUCUUGAGUGUCGGAGAGGUAAGCGGAAUUCCGUGUGUAGCGGUGAAAUGCGUAGAUAUACGGAGGAACACCAGUGGCGAAGGCGGAUUACUGGACGAUAACUGACGCUGAGGCGCGAAAGCGUGGGGAGCAAACAGGAUUAGAAACCCUAGUAGUCC